CGCAGCCGGACGCCGAGUCCUGCCGCUGGUCUGCGAGAACCCACCGUCGGCAGGAGCGGGGGAACCAGGUAAGUGCCCUGCGGGACCGAUGUCCCGAAGGGCUUGGGGUGAAGCCGUGACGGUGCCGCCGAAGAGGCGGACGUUGCGGCCGGGCUACUACUCCGGCCCGAAUCCGACAGCUCACCUCGCAGGCGUAGGAGAGGGAUUCC
rnacentral:sRNA from 2 species